GACAGAGGGGGCAAGCGUUGCUCGGAAUUACUGGGCGUAAAGGGCGCGUAGGCGGCGUGACAAGUCACUUGUGAAAUCUCUGAGCUUAACUCAGAACGGCCAAGUGAAACUGUUGUGCUAGAGUGCAGAAGGGGCAAUCGGAAUUCUUGGUGUAGCGGUGAAAUGCGUAGAUAUCAAGAGGAACACCUGAGGUGAAGACGGGUUGCUGGGCUGACACUGACGCUGAGGCGCGAAAGCCAGGGGAGCAAACGGG
rnacentral:rRNA from 1 species